GACAGAGGGUGCAAACGUUGUUCGGAAUUACUGGGCGUAAAGCGCGUGUAGGCGGCCAGGUAGGUCUGCUGUGAAAACUCGAGGCUCAACCUCGAGAUGUCGGCGGAAACCAUCUGGCUAGAGUCCGGAAGAGGAGAGUGGAAUUCCCGGUGUAGCGGUGAAAUGCGCAGAUAUCGGGAAGAACACCCGUGGCGAAGGCGGCUCUCUGGGACGGUACUGACGCUGAGACGCGAAAGCGUGGGGAGCGAACAGG
rnacentral:rRNA from 1 species